CUACCAAGACAGUGACGGUUGACGGGAAAUUAGGGUUUUGUACCGGAGAGGGAGCCUGAGAGAUUGCUCCCACGUCCAAGGACGGCAGCAGGCGCGAAAAUUGCCCACUCUUUGCAGGAGGCAGUUAUGAGACGUGAAGGUGAGUAUCUUGUAAAGAGGGAUAGGAGAAUUGGAGGGCAAGUUUGGUGCCUGCAGCCGCGGUAAUACCGACUCCAAGAGUGUGUAUGAGAGAUGCUGCAGUUAAAAAGUCCGUAGUCAUAGAAGGGCAAAGAGAGACGCGAGGUCUCACAGUGCGAUGAUGGAGGAGCCGAUGGGGAACAUAGUAUACCAGGGCGAGAGAUGAAAUGCCAAGACCCCUGGUGGACUGAGCGAGGCGAAGGCGAUGUUCUUGUAGGCAUUCGGUGAUCAAGGACGAAGGCUGGAGUAUCGAAAGUGAUUAGAUACCGCUGUAGUUCCAGCAGUAAAAGAUGCC
rnacentral:rRNA from 1 species